UGCCAGCACUGUGCUCUUGAUUUGCUAUC
rnacentral:piRNA from 1 species